UUGGCUUCAUUUCGUGCGGUACUU
rnacentral:siRNA from 1 species